UCUGCCCCACCUCUUGGGCUGGAUGGGAAGGACCCCUCUAUCCAAAGCCCACUCAAUUCCAUACUCAACAUCCCAAGUCUGGGUCUUUGAACAGGAUUCCACAAGGGCCCGGUGUGGGUAACAAGCUGAGGGCUGUUCUCUGAUCUGCCCUCCUCCACACUCCCUACCCGGCCUGAUGGAAUGGCACUGAACUGCCUCAGGAGCUGGGACAGGGGAUGGGGUGUGGCUGCUAAUGUCACUGCCUCCCACUAAGUCCCAUCCCACCUGGGCCCACAGAGCUCCUGCUGUGGUUAGCACCUCCGCCAUCAUUACAACUCUACUGUGACUGCCCCUGUCACACAGCCACCCUACCCAUCACCAGCACCACCAACACCCCCACCCCACCGGGACCAUCACCACCAUUGAGACUCUCGCCAUCUCCAUGAAGAGCACCCCAGCUCACACCUGAAGAUGGGACAGGACUGGGGGAGCUGAGAAGGUGCAUUUGCAUCUGUUGCCUGAUUCUGGAGGCUUGGAAGCCUGAGGAAAAGCCUUCAGCAUGGGGGGCGAUGGCUUACAGCUGCUCGGAUUCUCCUGGCUGCUGUCCUGGUGGUCUCGGCUUCUGCCCUGCCCCUUCUUCCUGCUCACAGAGGCCUGAACGGUCUCCCUUGGCCUCUGGCACAUCUGCUUUGCGAGGCAGCAGAGAGAAGAUAAUCCUGUCAUUGAAACCCUUGGUGUCAUUCCUUCUCGGAGCCUCUCCCUCAGCUGAGAGGGCAGGGGGCACUCCUGGCAUAAGAACCUCCGGGGACCAGGAAGCUCCUCUAGCCUUGCCCCAGGCUUUGGGUCCCCACUCAGACCAGCCUGCCCAUUUGGGAACUGCUGGGGCCUCAGGCAGGGCCACACCAAGACCAGUUGUAUCAUCAGUGGCCAAGCCUGCAGCCCACAGGGUCCCCAAGUCCCAGCCAGCGUCCGAUGUGUCUGGACCUGCAGAGAAGAUCUUGGUCCCUGGCUCUCCAGAGAUUGCUGCCACAGCACUGUAGCAGGCUUCUCCUGGCCCAAGGCAUCUUGGGGUUGGGCCAAAGUCCAGUGAGCUUCCUGGCUUGUCCGUGACAGUCUGUGCUCCUACCCCUGCAAUCCUGAGGAUAUCUGUUACCUCUGGGCCAACCCGGCAGCCAGCUGCACCCACAUCUGGAUCCCUCAACUGCUGGCCUGGCCCAUGGGCAGGCCCACCUCCAGCCCCAAGGCCUGUAAGCCAUCUACAUCAGCAGCAAGCACCGUCAGGCCUGGGGCUUCCACACUUCUAUCUCCAAGGGCCCCAGAGAAGGCUGUGUCCUCAGCACCCCAGGGCCCACUUGUGUCUACAUUGAUGGAUAACACGUUAGCUGCCACAGAGCCUCCUCUCUCUGUAGCUCCAGGGUGGUCAGGCUGGACACGGACUCUCAAGCCCUCACAGUGGCCUCAGGGUCACCCAGAAAUAGUCUCAUGUCCAGUCUGGGCCCAGGGCCCUGUGGUCCUUUAAUGUUGCCAUUGCCUUCUACAGCACCCUCUUCACAGUCAUCAUCUCUGUCACUGCCACUAUUGUCCCCGCUCUCAUCCCCAUCACCCGCACUUCUGUGUUUGUCACCAAUACCUUCCUCACCACCACCAUUUCAGUCAACAUCACCAGUCCUGGCCCCAAUUUCCUCCUUCAUCCCCAGAGCCAAAACCUCUCCGGACCCUUCUGUGUCUGUGCUCCCCACCACAGGCACAGGCCUUCUCAUCAACGCUUCCAGCCUCCAACCUGCCCUGCCUCUCUAGAUGGUUCCAGGUCCGGCUACUCUUCAGUGGACAGUCCAACCUGGGCCAGUGGUCCUUGCCAGCCGAACCCCCUUGACCACCCUCUCCCUCAGAUGUGACUCCAGCCUUCCCUCUGGCUGUCCGAGAGUCCCUGGGGGUGCUGCCCCCGCCCAGUCUUCUUCCCUGCCUCAUCCUGGCCAGGCUGCCUCCUUGCAGGAUUCAGGAGACUCCUCCCCAGGACCCAAUUGUGUGAUCUGCUCCGUGACUUUCAGGAUCAGCAUUGAAGCCUUCUCCACAGUGCUCAGGAACCCUGCCUCCCUGGAGCACCAGCUGAGAGAAAACCUCUGACACCAGGCAUGGGCUGCUUCCAACACCUCCUUAGGAGUCUGCCCCCAGCCUGUCCCCAGCCCGGCCUCGCCCACUCACCUUCUGAGCAUGCCAGGCCUCUGGACCACCUCACAUCCCCUACUCCCUCUCUGCCUGGAGAAGGCUGAUUCCUCGGGGAGGCCUCCCCUGAUGACUCAGACCCCUGACCUUGCAGAGUCAGCAUUCCUUCCUCUGUCUUUCCCACACUGUCCUACCCGAGCCUGCCGCUCCCACCAGACCAUGAGCCCUCUGAGGGCUGCUGGGCCCAGAGCUGGGAACUUACAGAGGC